UACGUAGGGUGCAGGCGUUAAUCGGAAUUACUGGGCGUAAAGCGUGCGCAGGCGGUUUCUUAAGUCAGAUGUGAAAGCCCCGGGCUUAACCUGGGAACUGCGUUUGAAACUGGGAGACUUGAGUGUGGCAGAGGGGGGUGGAAUUCCACGUGUAGCAGUGAAAUGCGUAGAUAUGUGGAGGAACACCGAUGGCGAAGGCAGCCCCCUGGGUUAACACUGACGCUCAUGCACGGAAGCGUGGGGAGCAAACAGG
rnacentral:rRNA from 1 species